GAUGAACGCUGGCGGCGUGCCUAAUACAUGCAAGCCGAGCGAACAGACGAGGAGUUUGCUCCUCUGACGUUAGCGGGGGACGGGUGAGUCACACGUGGAUAACCUACCUAUAAGACUGGGGUAACUUCGGGAAAACGGAGCUAAUACCGGAUAAUAUAUUGAACCGCACGGUUCCAUAGUGAAAGACGCUUUUGCUGUCACUUAUAGAUGGAUCCGCGCCGCAUUAGCUAGUUGGUAAGGUAACGGCUUACCAAGGCUACGAUGCGUAGCCGACCUGAGAGGGUGAUCGGCCACACUGGAACUGAGACACGGUCCAGACUCCUGCGGGAGGCAGCAGUAGGGAAUCUUCCGCAAUGGGCGAAAGCCUGACGGAGCAACGCCGCGUGAGUGAUGAAGGUCUUCGGAUCGUAAAGCUCUGUUAUUAGGGAAGAACAAAUGUGUAAGUAACUAUGCACGUCUUGACGGUACCUAAUCAGAAAGCCACGGCUAACUACGUG
rnacentral:rRNA from 1 species